CAUUGCAGGUCACUUUCUUACUUUAAAAUAACAGUCUAAGACACUUAUAGCUACCAACACACUUUUUCUAUGGCAAAAGACGAGAAUAACCUUAAAACCUAAUCAAAGUAAUUGCUACCUCCUCUUUCCUUUCCUCAAGCCGUACCAUCUCUGUUUCCAUCUCUUUUUCUUUCCUCUUUCUCUAUCUCCUUAACUCUUCAAUUUCUUGCCGUAAUCGCUCUUAAAUUUCUUGCCGUAAUUGCUUGUUCUCCUCCUCUGCUAAUCUUGACGUCUCUUUACUCGAAUCCUCUAUUUGAGAUUUGAGCAACAUGACAACAUAAACAGAUUCCCUGAGUAGGUUGACCUAUGCAUGUGGGAAGUAAACGUCGAAAGAUGGCCGGUGUUGGAAACGAGUUGACGCGGCAGAAACUGAUUCAGUCACUCCUCAAUCUCCGUAACUCGAUUCGCGAUGGUGUAGCGCAGAUUCUUUGGUGGAACAUGUUCUAUUUUUUUUUAAUUUCAUUUAGCUCUUGUACACUUGAUCCUUCUUUUUUUCCUUAUUUUCUAGUCAUGUAUGCCUUCUAAAAUGUUAGUGUUCAUGAAGGUGGGAUAUGUCUUUGUGCGAUAAUGUUACUUAUAUUUUUUGCAAAUCUAUCUUUCACCAUAUAAAUUGAUAGAUUGUAAUCUUUAACAUUUAAACAUGAAGCUUAUUGAGGAUAUAC